rnacentral:rRNA from 1 species
AUUGAACGCUGGCGGCAGGCCUAACACAUGCAAGUCGAGCGGAAGAAGGGAGCUUGCUCCUGGAUUCAGCGGCGGACGGGUGAGUAAUGCCUAGGAAUCUGCCUGGUAGUGGGGGAUAACGUCCGGAAACGGGCGCUAAUACCGCAUACGUCCUGAGGGGGAAAGUGGGGGAUCUUCGGACCUCACGCUAUCAGAUGAGCCUAGGUCGGAUUAGCUAGUUGGUGGGGUAAAGGCCUACCAAGGCGACGAUCCGUAACUGGUCUGAGAGGAUGAUCAGUCACACUGGAACUGAGGCACGGUCCAGACUCCUACGGGAGGCAGCAGUGGGGAAUAUUGGACAAUGGGCGAAAGCCUGAUCCAGCCAUGCCGCGUGUGUGAAGAAGGUCUUCGGAUUGUAAAGCACUUUAAGUUGGGAGGAAGGGCAGUAAGUUAAUACCUUGCUGUUUUGACGUUACCAACAGAAUAAGCACCGGCUAACUUCGUG